UCACAUGGUCAGGUACUGGAUGACUCUCAGUUGUGUGUAAAAGAUGCUGAGGGCCUUCUGGUACCUACCCCAGUGA
rnacentral:pre_miRNA from 2 species